UAUCUCUGUAGAGUCUGCAUAUCAAUAAGCGGAGGAAAAGAAACUAACUAGGAUUCCCUUCAGUAACGGCGAGUGAAGCGGGAAGAGCUCGAAUUUGAAAUCUUCAAGGUUUUACCUUGACGAAUUGUAGUUUAAAGAAGUGUUUUCUGUUGGAGUUUUGGUAAAAGUUCUUUGGAAUAGGACAUCAUAGAGGGUGAGAAUCCCGUAUUUGACCAUUAUUUCCAGCUUUGUGAUACACUUUCAAAGAGUCGGAUUGUUUGGGAAUGCAGUCCAAAAUGGGUGGUAAAUUUCAUCUAAAGCUAAAUACUUGGCGAGAGACCGAUAGCGAACAAGUACCGUGAGGGAGAAGAUGAAAAGAACUUUGAAAAGAGAGUUAAACAGUACGUGAAAUUGUCAAAAGGGAAGCGUUUGACACCAGUGUUGUUUUCUCGAAAAUCAAUUAAAAAAGGCAGGAUUUUGUGUUGUAUUGACUUUAUCAGCUUUCUGCACUCUUUUCUUGUCUUUUUUAAUGCACUUUUCGUUUAACAAGUCAACAUCAAUUUCUUUUGUUGUAAAAGGGUCAUUGGAAGGUGGCUUUCUUUUCGGAGAAAGUGUUUAUAGCCUUUGGCCUCUGCAAUCGGAGAGAUUGAGGUCUGCAGCGUAGAUCCUUCGGGGUUAGAUACAUUUGUGCUAAGUUAUAGCCUUUCAUAGACAACUUGUUGACUAUGAUCAGUCAUGUAGCUUACUCGCUUAUGCUAUUUUACCUACGCUUAGGAUGUUGACGAUCAGCUGAGCGCG
rnacentral:rRNA from 1 species